rnacentral:rRNA from 1 species
GAUGAACGCUGGCGGCGUGCCUAAUACAUGCAAGUCGAGCGAACGGACGAGAAGCUUGCUUCUCUGAUGUUAGCGGCGGACGGGUGAGUAACACGUGGAUAACCUACCUAUAAGACUGGGAUAACUUCGGGAACCGGAGCUAAUACCGGAUGAUAUUUUGAACCGCAUGGUUCAAAAGUGAAAGACGGUCUUGCUGUCACUUAUAGAUGGAUCCGCGCUGCAUUAGCUAGUUGGUAAGGUAACGGCUUACCAAGGCAACGAUGCAUAGCCGACCUGAGAGGGUGAUCGGCCACACUGGAACUGAGACACGGUCCAGACUCCUACGGGAGGCAGCAGUAGGGAAUCUUCCGCAAUGGGCGAAAGCCUGACGGAGCAACGCCGCGUGAGUGAUGAAGGUCUUCGGAUCGUAAAACUCUGUUAUUAGGGAAGAACAUAUGUGUAAGUAACUGUGCACAUCUUGACGGUACCUAAUCAGAAAGCCACGGCUAACUACGUG